CCUCUCUGGGGCCUCCCUUGUCCCCUGCCCGUGACUAACACAGACCCUGUCCCUGUCCUGUCGUCUAACGGUGCUCUGGCUCAGGGAGGGAGAGACGGGCGGGAGGGCGACCUGCCCAAAGGGGCGUGAGCGGAGCUGAAGGGAGUCCCAGCUCUGGGCUCUGUGUCCUUGGGCAUGCCCCACCCCCACCCCGUGAAGAGUCUGUCGGCCUCUGCCUCAUGGGCGGCCAUGUGGACAGAAGCUGGACACAGGAAGUGCUCACUAGCCACAGCGGCACCCCACAGCUCAGCCAUGAGGGGCCUGGCCCGGCGCCCCGCCUCCUCGCCUUCCUCCGAGUACAGCACAGGUCCCCGGGCGGAUGCUGACCAUGUUUCCCAAACCAAGAGCUGGUGUGGUAACAGGAUAGGAUAUUUGAAACUGAGGAAGCCCCGAAAGGCAGAGACUAGCAGCCCCAUAGUAACCAGAGGCCGAGUUGACCUGAACCGCAGGCUCCAGAACCCGGGUAAGAAAUGUCUCCGUUGCCCACCAAGAUUGAGGGAAGCCCCUCGAAUGGCAGAGCAGGUGGCGUCUGAGGCUGGUCUUGCAGAGCGAAAGGGGGGAUGAGCAGAGCGCACUGGCCUGGCCCUGCCCCUGGCCCUGGCCGGAGGGGCGAUGACACACUCGGUGAGCAGGGAGAGGACUCAGGGACAGCCAGGGCUUGUUCAGGGCCAGUGUCUGCCAGGUCUGGGCGGGGUCCUGCUCAUCCUGCCUGCAGAGACCUCAUCUCUGCUAGGAAGGCCUGUGAUUGGACGGCUGUGGGUUCCAGGUGCUCAGGAGGCUCGGAGGGUCACAUGGGAGACAGCACUGGGGACAGGCGCUGUAGCGAGUAGGCUGGGUAGGCCUCCCUCAGAGUGGCAUCUGGGUGGCUCUGAGAUUGGGGGACCGCCUUCCCAUCGGAGGCAUGGAACUGCUGAGGCCCUGUGGCUACAAAGUGGGGCGGGAAGAGGAAGGGCAGUGGGUAGGAAGGCGUCUCGUGAUUGGACUCUGUGCGCAGGCCCAGUUAUGCGCUCUCGACACAGGCGCUGGGCUGUCGGCUGUUGGGGGAGCUCACUCGGCUGUGCAGGGAGGCCCAGGAGGAGGCAGGGUGUCCGGGGCACAGUGGUCACUUCCUGCUGCUGGAGGAAGGGCGGGCUGCCCGUGCCCCCUCAGAAGGGGACUCCAGCCCUGAGACAGAUCCGUUCUCUAGCGCGGUCCGUCCCUCCAGCAGGGCCGUCCCUGUGCUCACAGGGUGUGACAGUGCCACCAUCUGAGACUGUUGGGUGUACAUGCCUCGUAUGGAGAGAACGGGGGCACAGAGGUGAGGCAGUUGGCCCAGGUGACCCGGAAGGUUUCCGUGGCAACAGGGACUUGAACCUACAGGAUGGGUGUGAUGGCCUGGGGGUCUCCAGGCUGUACCCACAAUUACUUACAAACUCAUUUGGGACCACGUUUGGCCUCUCUCUUGAGUUCAUCUGGGAGGGGAGGGAGCAUUUAAUUUACUCGUUUUAAUUCCGUUCUGUGCCCGGACCACUGAAGUUCUGCAUGGCAGGCAGCGGGAUUUCCCAGCUGUGCUGAGUUAUAAUUGACGUCCCCCUUGUGCAGGCGCAAGGCGUACAGCGUGGCAUCUGCCAUGCGCGUACGGAGUGCAGUGAUUACAGGGAGGUCAGUUAGCCUCGCCUAGUUCCCGGUGUGCGUGGAGAGAAUCUCAGCAUCUGCUUCCUUAGCUACUUUCAAGCACACAACGCAGUGUUGCCGCCCAGUCACCAUCCCCAGAGCGGAUCCAUCGGUAACCCGAAGUGCGCGCCCUGGACCACCUCCACCCGUCCCCCCAGCCCCUGACAACCACCAACAUAUUCUUUGUUUUGAUAAGUCUGUUGUUUUUCUUAGAUUCCAUAUACAAGUGAGAUUAGACCG